GCAAGUCGAGGGGUAACAUUCUGUGCUUGCACAGAGAUGACGACCGGCGCACGGGUGCGCAACGCGUAUGGAACCUACCUUUUACAGGGGGAUAGCCCAGGGAAACUUGGAUUAAUACCCCGUAGUAUCACUUGUAGCAUUACGUGAUGGUUAAAGGCUUCGGCCGGUAUAAGAUGGCCAUGCGUAGCAUUAGCUGGUUGGUAAGGUAACGGCUUACCAAGGCAGCGAUGGGUAGGGGGCCUGAGAGGGGGAUC
rnacentral:rRNA from 1 species